UGGGGAAUUUUACGCAAUGGGCGAAAGCCUGACGUAGCGACACCGCGUGAGCGAAGAAGCCCCUUGGGGUGUAAAGCUCUGUCAGCUGGAACGAAAAAAAUGACGGUACCAGCAGAGGAAGCAUCGGCUAACUACGUGCCAGCAGCCGCGGUAAGACGUAGGAUGCAAGCGUUGUCCGGAUUUAUUGGGCGUAAAGAGUUCGUAGGUGGUUUGUUAAGUUUGGUGUUAAAGAUUGGGGCUCAACCCUGAAACUGCACUGAAUACUGGCAGACUCGAGUGUGGUAGAGGCUAGUGGAAUUCCCAGUGUAGCGGUGAAAUGCGUAGAUAUUGGGAAGAACACCGGUGGCGUAGGCGACUAGCUGGGCCAUAACUGACACUGAGGAACGAAAGCCAGGGGAGCGAAUGGGAUUAGAUACCCCAGUAGUCCUGGCCGUAAACGAUAGAUACUAGGCGUAUCGGGUAUCGACCCCUGAUGUGCCGCAGCUAACGCGAUAAGUAUCCCGCCUGAGUAGUACGGCCGCAAGGUUG
rnacentral:rRNA from 1 species